CCCGGAGUUGGGCCUGCGCUCUGGACGCUCCUGCCGGAAGUGGGCGGGAUCGCGUUCCAACGGGGCAAGGGCGAUGAGAGCGCGGAGGAGGCGCCGGUGGCAGAGUUUGGGGCGGGGACUGUCCCCAAUGCUCCGCAGCAAGGUGGGCUGAUUGUGGAGGCUAAAGCAACUCUAUCUUGCCGGCUUAUCCACCAUGUGGACUUCUAAUUAAUCUCAGUUGCCGGAAUGCCUCUAAGAUUUCUACAUUAUCUACUGUGAAGAGCAAGUAAUUACUGCAAAUCCUGCCCUUGGGUCAAAACAACCUUGAUGACAUAUUCCUUCUGAAGCACAUAUACUCUUUCCCUAGCUGCCUGCCCUGCAGACUUCAGGCUCCAGCAUCAGACACAGAGACCCAGCGUUAUGGAGACUGUCUAACCAGAUCUCACAAUUGUGGAAGAUCCCAACUCCUACAAAAAUCUCUUAAAAACCACGUGUGGCUGGGCACAGUGGCUCAUGUAUGUAAUUCUAGCACUUUGGGAGGCCGAGGUGAGUGGAUCUCUUGAGCCCAGGAGUUUGAGACCAGCCUGGAGCAACAUGGUGAAACUGUGUCUCUACAAAAGAUACAAAAAUUAGCUGGGCAUGGUGGCAUGCGCCUGUAGUCCCAGCUACUCAGGAGGCUGAGGUGGGAGGGUGACUUGAGCCCAGGAAUUGAAGGCUGUAGUGAGCUGUGAUUGUGCCCCUGCACUCCAGCUGGGGUGACAGAGCGAGCCCCUGUCUCAAAAACAAUCCCUCCCCCCAAAAAAGUCACCUGGAUGAGGCCAGGCGCGGUGGCUCAUGCCUGUAAUCCCAGCACUUUGGGAGGCUGAGGUGGGCGGAUCACGAGGUUAGGAAAUCGAGACCAUCCUGGCUAACAUGGUGAAACCCUGACUCUACUAAAAAUACAAAAAUUAGCCGGGCGUGGUGGCGGGCACUUGUAGUCCCAGCUACUCAGGAGGCUGAGGCAGGAAAAUGGCGUGAACCCAGGAGGCGGAGCUUGCAGUGAGCCGAGAUUGCACCACUGCACUCCAGCCUGGGCGACAAAGCAAGACUCCGUCUCAAAAAAAAAAAAUAAAUAAAUAAAUAAAUAAAAUAAAUAAAAGUCACCUGGAUGAAGCCUGUGCAGCCAUUUCAGCCAAAGAUGCUACUGGAGA